GUGGGGAAUAUUCCGCAAUGGACGAAAGUCUGACGGAGCAACGCCGCGUGAGUGAUGAAGGUUUUCGGACUGUAAAGCUCUGUUGUUUGGGACGAAAGUGCCUGUUGCGAACAGUUACGGGUAUUGACGGUACUAAACGAGGAAGCCACGGCUAACUACGUGCCAGCAGCCGCGGUAAUACGUAGGUGGCAAGCGUUGUCCGGAAUUAUUGGGCGUAAAGAGCAUGUAGGCGGGAAUCUAAGUCUGUUGUUAAAAUGCGGGGCUCAACCCCGUAUUGCGAUGGAAACUGGGUUUCUUGAGUGCAGGAGAGGAAAGGGGAAUUCCCAGUGUAGCGGUGAAAUGCGUAGAUAUUGGGAGGAACACCAGUGGCGAAGGCGCCUUUCUGGACUGUGUCUGACGCUGAGAUGCGAAAGCCAGGGUAGCGAACGGGAUUAGAUACCCUAGUAGUCC
rnacentral:rRNA from 1 species